rnacentral:rRNA from 1 species
GUGAGGAAUAUUGCGCAAUGGAGGCAACUCUGACGCAGCCAUGCCGCGUGCAGGAAGAAGGCGCUACGCGUUGUAAACUGCUUUUAACCGGGAAGAAACCCCAGGACGUGUCCUGGGUUGACGGUACCGGAGGAAUAAGCACCGGCUAACUUCGUGCCAGCAGCCGCGGUAAUACGAAGGGUGCAAGCGUUAUCCGGAUUCAUUGGGUUUAAAGGGUGCGUAGGCGGAGCGUUAAGUCAGUGGUGAAAUCCUGGAGCUUAACUGUAGACUUGCCAUUGAUACUGGCGCUCUUGAGUGCGCUUGAAGUGGGCGGAAUGUGCCGUGUAGCGGUGAAAUGCUUAGAUAUGGCACAGAACACCAAUUGCGAAGGCAGCUCACUAAGGCGAUACUGACGCUGAGGCACGAAAGCGUGGGGAUCGAACAGGAUUAGAAACCCCAGUAGUCC